UACGUAGGUGGCAAGCGUUGUCCGGAUUUACUGGGCGUAAAGGGCGUGCAGGCGGUCUGUUAAGUGCAGGGUGAAAGCUCCCGGCUCAACUGGGAGAGGUCCUUGCAUACUGGCGGACUUGAGGGGGGUAGAGGAAAGUGGAAUUCCCGGUGUAGUGGUGAUAUGCGUAGAUAUCGGGAGGAACACCUGUGGCGAAGGCGGCUUUCGUGGGCCCUACCUGACGCUGAGA
rnacentral:rRNA from 1 species